UCACUGCAGUUACAAAGACAAAUGAGAUAUGAUCCCUACCCUUGAGGAGCUCACAGUCUAUUGAACACAAGCAGC
ensembl:miRNA Mir28c microRNA 28c